rnacentral:tRNA from 1 species
AAUUUCAUAAAUUUAGCCUGUAAAAUUUAUGAUUUAUAAUAAUUUAUUUAUAUAAUGUAAUA